ensembl:snRNA U6 U6 spliceosomal RNA
GUGCUCGCUUCGGCAGCACAUACACUAAAACUGGAACGAUACAGAAAUUAGCAUGGCCCCUGCACAAGGAUGAAACGCAAAUUCAUGAAGCAUUCCAUAUUUUU